ensembl:lncRNA
CCUCCAGACUCCUCGGUGGGGCAUUGAUUUUUCCAUCCGUCAGCGAAACGCCUGAGGAAAAUGAAAGAGCAUCUUCGUGAUCGAUCAGGAGAACUCUUCAGCCUGGGGGUCAGCGAGGGCUGGAAUCAGCUGCUCCCCUGGCAUAUAAUUACCCCCUCUCUCCCAAGCCUGGGCAUUUCACACGCCCGUGGGAGCAGCCGUCUUGCUGCAGGGCUGGGAAGUUGCUUGCUGAAAACCUCCCUGUGGUGCCUUGACGCUGCAUCCGCAGGUUCUUGAAGAAGUGGGAGCUCUGUGGAGCAGUGAUGAUGAAUGCUGCUUUGCUGGGAUCUGUCCUUUUCACUUCCUCAAACACAAGCAAAUAAGAAGUGAUUGUAAUGCUAGCUGCUGUCUCCAGAUCAAAAGCGCUAAAGCAACACUUUGAGAACUGAGAAGGGCACGGUCUGAGCCUCCCCUCAACCCCACACCUCCCAACGCUGCCGUAAAAUCUGUGCUGAAAAAGGACCAGCAAAUACCAGGUUUGCCACGCGGAUGCACUGACGGGGUUGGGGCACUUGUGGCAGGGACAGCCCAGAGUGACAGCCCCGGGUGCUCCCAGCAAGGGCAGGAGUGCAAAACCCCGCAGUAAAUGGAAGGAGAAGGCGUUGCUUUGCUGCUGAGAGAGAAUUUAGGUGGCAGGGAUGAAACAGAGAAGCGCUGUGCAGGGAGCGGUGCUGGGGCUGGAGGGCUGUGGGAGGGAGGUAACAGGAUGGCCCCGGGUACCGCUUCCUCCUGGCGCCCCUCCAGCCGUCCCCGUCAUCCCCCAGUCACAUCCUGCUUGCGCUGGCUCCUGCCUCAUCCUGCUGCCUGCAGUUUCUCAACCCCUUUCCCUCCUGCCAGCACUUUCUGGCUGCUGGGGUUGCUGCGGGGCAGCGGGGCCGGAGGCAGCUCUUGGAGCACCGGGAGAUUUAGGAUCGACAUGCUCCAUCCUCUCCUGUUUGAAAGCAGAACUGCCAUUUAAGGGAGGGUUUGGAGAGGAGACAUCUUCCUCUUUCCAAAUCCUUCUUGCCGGCGUAGCCCCUCAUCCCACAGACCCUGCAGCAUGGAGCAUCCCAGCACCUUUCCCUGGGUCCCUGCUUUGUCCCCAGUACCGUUUCCUCCUCCGCAGCCCCAUCUCCGGAGGGGCCACGUGCUGUGGGAAGGAUCCCAUCCUGCUCUGGGACGCUCCGUGCCCUGGCAGGGUGCAGCUGGGGCUGGCACUGCUCUGCGCUGGGCUGAGCUGUCCUGGCCUCCAAGUGCUUCUGCAACAGCCAGGAGAUCUCGAGGGGAGUUCUUAGUGGAGCAGGGAGAUGCUGCAGCACAGCAGCAAGCUGGAGCUGUGAGGAGGGGGGGAAUCUGCCACGGACUUUCUGGGGUAACCUUGGUCAAGGCAGCUUUCUCCCCGCGUGUUUUUUUUUUAACCUAAACACAACGCUGCCUUUGCUCGCUGUGCUGGUGCAGAGGCUGAUUCCCAGCACCCCGGAGGAGGGCUGCUGGCUGCUGCCACAGCACUGCACUGCAGCAGCUCUGAGCUCAGAGCUCCGUGCUCGGGGUCUCAGCCCCACUGCGGAGCUGCUGCCUCAGAGCUGGGACCGCUGGGACCCCCAUCCACACGCUGCAGGUCCCCGCUUUGCUCCAUCACCCAGUGCUGAGGCCUGGGGCGAGCGGCGGGCUGCGUCGCUUUGGGGUUUUGGCACACAGGGAAUGCAAGUGAGGGGGGGGGGAGGCACUCCCACGAUCCCCGCUGUUAGGGAGCACAGCACUCGGGCUGCCGCGUUUCGCCCCCAACAGAAGGCAGGGAACACGGGGAGGAGAUGGUUGCGCCCGCCUGGGGCUCAGGGAUGGGGCCGAUGGGCGCUGGCGUGGAGCGUCCCUCCUUCCCCAUCCCUCCUCCCCACGCACGGGGCAGCGCGGCCACGCACGGAGCCAACCAGGAGCGAUGCGAGGAGGGUCGCAGCUCAGCGGGGCAGCUCCGGACUCCCCGCUCUUCCCUCCAGACCACGCAACGGUUAAAUUCCUUUCCAGCUGAGCUGGCAAGCAGAGCCCGAGCAUAUUAGUCAGAUCCCUGUAGGGGGUGGGGAGGAGGAAGGAGCGAGCAGCGAGGAGGGGCCGCAGCCCAGCGCCGGGCUGAGCUAUUCUCCGGGGCGAGUGCGGGGAGGCAGCGCAGCAGGAGUUGCUGCUUCCCAGAAACUUGAUUAUUUUUAACCCAGGAAGAAAAAAAUAAAAAAUAAAAAAAAUAAAAAAGGAAGGAAGGAAAGCGGGGAGAUUAAAAAAAAAAAAAAAAAAGAGUGGGGGUAAAUCUAAAGGAACUGGAAAACAUGAGGUUGGCGUCAGCACGCAGCUUUGCGGAGGGGGAGAAGGGGCGGAGAGGUUCGGGCUGCCCUGGGAUAGGGAUGGGGCACGGAGCGGUGCCAACCCCAGCGGAGCUGCCCUGUGGGGUGGAGGAGACAGCAAGGUCUUCUUUCUCGCGUUGCUUAACCACGUGUAGAUGGGAGCCUGGCACUGGGCAGAGUGCAGAGGCAUCUUGGUGGUGUUCCCACUGCAUGACACUGUUGUGUUGGGUCUGAGAUGCAGAGCCCCGCAGCGGUUGUUUCAAAGCCCCACGGCUGGAAGAGCACUGGGGGUCUUCUGCCCCACGCCCGGAGCUGCACUGAGGGCACUGGCACUGCAGUGCGGAUGGGACACUGUGCACAAAGUCCCCAGUGAAGGUCCAACCCUUUCUGACCCAAACCCUCCCCAUGUAUUUGUAUGACUGCAGCAGCUGCGCUUGGUUGGAAACUCAGUGUCUUCCAUGGCUGUAACACCAGCCCAAAGCAUUACAAGCCAUGGGCCCUUCCAGGAAAUAUCUGGCAAUCCCACACUGUGCUGCUCAGGGUGGUGCUGGGACCCCUGAGCUGCUGUUCCCAGCCCCCAAACUGAGCUCCAUGGGGAACACCACGUGAUGAAAUGUCCUAUAUCCACAGACCCCAUGUGGAAACAGGCCACGGCUCUCCCUGGGGAGGUUCUUCCAUGUUGGACCUCUGUUGGACCUCUGCUGUCAUCAGCUCUGCUCUGCUGCUGUGCCCAGAUCCUGGAUGGGGCUGGUGAUGUCCACAUGAUGGCAUCAGAACCAUCAUCUCAAAGGAGAAGAAGCCCUUAGCUUUGCAGUCACAGCCAGGCCAGGUCAGAAAACGUAUUCCAUUCCACAAAGGCAGAGAGGUGACAAUGGCAAUCAGUUCAGCCUAGCCAGACCGGGUUUGGAACAGGCAGCAGGCACCCCUCAAAGUGCAGAGGAAACAAAACUCUUGACAAAGGCACUGCUGCUCUGCUGGCUCCAUGUGGGGCUGCUGAGGGUCUUCGUGCUGGUUUGGUUCCUUGGGCAACAUCACCCCAUCGUGUCCCAGCGCACCGCAGCCUCCCUGCCACCAACAGGCUCAGCAGUGCGUGCCCCAUCCCUGGAGCUGCUCGAGGCCAGGCUGGACGUGGCUCUGGGCAACGUGAUCUGAUGGUUGGCGACCAGCCCACAGCACGGGGGUUGGAACUGGAUGAUCUUUGAGGUCCCUUCCAACCGAACCAUUGUGCGACUCGAUGAAAACAUGUGGCUGACUGGGUGCAAAAGCGCCAAGCCUUCCUCCUCCCCUCUUCCUCUCCCAAACCCCAAGGGCCUGCAGUGGAGAGCUCCCCCACAUUGGCACACCCAGGGGCCCUGGGGACGGGCCAGGAACUGCUUCCACCCCACGGCUGCAGCAGGAUGGGGCUCGCAGCAUCACCCGCCCCACUGCACGCCCACAGGGCUGGGAUUUGCCAGGGGGUGUUGGAUGGCAGAGGGCCCUCCGAAGAGCCCCUCGUGCUGCAGGCAGCCUAGCGCACUGCUCGCAGGGUAUUUUUUUCUUCCUCGCUCUUUGUUAAGCUCCCUUUCAGCUGAAAUGGCAAUGCCUGGGUGUUCUGAGCUGACAAUAAUUGCUGCAGUCUAGACACUGUCUGGUAUGAGGCACGGGGAAUCAAAGAGGCCCCUUCUCUCGCAGCGACUUUCACACAUGCUCCCUUGCUUGGGCUCCUUCCUUCUCCCUCUCCCAUGUUCCCUCGGUCUUUGCCUUUUUUUUUUUUUCUUUCUCUCUUUCUUUCUUUUUUUUUUUUAAUUUUUUUAUUGCUCCCCUCUAUCUGCAUGGCACAGAGAUGGAGGAGAAGCGUCAGCAUCUUCCCCCACGCGCGCUCCCUCUCCGCCGUCUGUUCCAUGCUCCCCCUCUCCCUCUCUCUCUCCCUUUCUCAUCUGUCUCCUCUCUCUCUCCUUCCUCCACUCUUACCUUUAUACUAUUCCCUUCCUCCCAAAGUUAGCAGAGAAGGGAGAGGGUGGGGGCUGGCUCUGCCGGAGUUUAACUCCUUCCUUACCCUCUUGAAGCUCUCCCUUUCCUGCUGAGCCCUUCCUGGCUGUGGGAUCCCCUACCCACCCCAUCCCUGGUCCUACAGGAGGUGCCUGGUGAGGCUGUGCUGGAUUCAGAUGCAGUCUCAUGCCCUGAUACCAUGGGCAUGGAAUCAUCCCUUCUUGCACCAUUCCUUGGCCAACAUCAUGGCCAAUGGGAAGGGCUGUCCAUUGGGGACCCAUAGGAAGGGGCGACCAUUGGGGACCCAUAGGAAGGGGUGUCCAUUAGGGGCCCAUGGGAAGUCCCCCACGUCUCAGCAUUGCAGUGGUGCAGAGCUGGGCAGGUGCUGCAGCUCCUCCAUCACCUCCGUGCCCAACAAGAAGGCAGCCAAUGUGGGAGAGCACCUCACUGCCACACCUCCGCUGGUGGGCACACGCAGCACUCAGGAGCAGCCGCUGCUCCCCAGCCUCCAAACGCUGCUCAAAUAUUUGCUGGGGUGCAGAUGUGUCCCAGCUGCAGGGAACCCAUCGUUGCCUCUUUGGGUACUUGAGUUGCCACAGCAAAGCAAUGGCAGGUCUCCAGGCAUGCACCCACACUGCUUUAGGUGCUGCCUCAGUCUGUGUCUUGCUGGCACUUCAGUGGGAUGCCGUGUUGCAGUUCCAAUCAUGCCCAGGACUUAUUGUGCUCUAAUGCUAUUAACAGAUCGUUUCUAGCUCACUUCUGGACUCCUCUUCAUCUCUGCUCCCUGCGCAAAAAGUCACUUUUUCUGCAGAGCCCAACUAAAUAGUGCUGAAUUCUCAUCCGUGCGUUUUCAUUGCUGUCAAAUGCUUUCACCGGAGGGGAAACUGAGGCAAAGCACAGGGCAGCCAUCUGCCAGCCUGCAGGUCCCCUCCGUGGGACACGGAGCUGCUCUGCAGCCCUAUUUGCACUGCCCGGCAUCUCAGUGGCGGCGGUGCUGCUCGCCUACCACGGCAAAGUCACAUUAGGAAAGUAUGCGAUGUAUUUUUAACUGUCCAUAAUGCAAUUUAGCAGCUGGAAACGAGGACGAAAGCCAACCCCGUGCGACCAGCCAGAUCUCUGCUGUCCGUGAGCGAGCGCUCGGUGCACGCGGUGUUACUCUGUCGGGUUGGGGACCUCGUUUGGGAGAAGGGCAGGGGAGGGCUGCGUCCUCAAAGCGGGUUCUGUCUCGAGCCAAGGGGUGAUGGAGCUUGGGGACCUCGCUGGGGCAAAGCAGUGCUGGUGGUGUGACAGCAGGAGAGGAGACAGCCCCAGGGGAGGGAAACAACUGCUGGAGGUCAGCGGCAGAGCCAGGAAUAAAAUCCAGGUGUGCUGAGCUGGCGCUGGGUUUGUAUUCCCGCACAUGAGUGCGUGCGACUGCUGUCCCCAGGUGCAGAGAGAGCUUCCCAAAGCCAACAGUGCGCUCCGGAGCCCCACUGCAAGCUGUGGGGCAGCAAAUGUGCAGGAUGUGGGGGGAGAGAUUUGGGGUCUCUGUUCCCUGGAGCAUCCCACACAGCGUGGCUGGGUCUGGGCCCCGCUGGAAGGAUGCUGAUAAGGCAGGGAGGUUAAAAACACUGCCUUUAUUUUGAAGCUUAUCUCCAAAUCCUAAUGAAAACAGACGAAGAGGGAAGGCAGGGACAUCGGAGAUGCAGUGGGGCUGAGGCUGGGCGGUGCUGUGCAGCAGAACGCGGCUGGGUUGGGAGUCCAGUUGGAUCCAGCAUGAGAUGCAACACAGGGGGAGUGUGAGAUUACAGGAAAGCUUUGGGGCAAACCCGAGGAGCCGGGGCACAACUCUUGGGUCCCACACAUGGGGAGAGAAAAGCUGGGGGGGGCUGCAGUCCCUCUUCCUGCCCCACCAACACCCUGAAACUCAGAAUCCGCUCUUAGUAAGGGGCUCAGUGAGGAAGAAAAACCUUGAAACCAAGGAAACAAGGGAAGCAAAAGGGGGGAAAAAUUCCUCUGCAAGGGGCAAUGAAGGAGGGAACGGGAACAUUUGGUGGGCUGGGAUGUCUGCUCGGCCGAGAUGUCCCAUCUCAGAGUGGCAUCAGCUGCAGCCUGGGGCAGUGCUGUAGGAGAGCGUUGGGGGUAGGAGGUGGGAGGGAGGGGCUGAGCAGAGGGCUGUGGGGAAGGUGUGGGGCGCGGAGCAGAUGCGGUGGGCUCAGUGAGGAGUGCGGCUUUGCAGACACGAAAUAACUUUCCCCUUCCUAAAGUGAUGGGGUACUGAGGGUGGGAGAAGCUCGGGGUGAGAAGCACGUGUGUGUGUGUGUGUGUGUGUGUGUGUGGCCAAACGCACACAUCGCAGCGCUUCGACUCCAAGGCUGUACCGAAGGAGACCCUCCCGUGCCACAUGUGGGUCGUUCCUCUCCAACCACCCCAUCGUUCCCCGCAGAGGGGCAGCGACACGCGCCCUCCAUCGCCGCCGUGUGCCGCGGGGCAGCGUUCGGGUGACCCACCGCAAACUAUGGCGAGGGAGGGAGGGGGGCACAACCCCAUCCGUCCCCAUUCACAGCUGCGCACCCCCAUCCCUCUCCCGUCCCGUAGCGCGGUGCCCGGCCCGGCUCGCUGCUGGGGGACCGUAACGUGAUAUUUCCCCGCGCGUCCCCCGGAGGGUUUUUUCCAUUACACGGAACGGAGCUGCCUGCUCGCCCGGCUCCCCCGCCUGCAACCUCUGGCACCGCUUUUCCAGCGGCACAUUGUGCAAAUGUAACCUUUCAGCAAAGCCACUCCUACGGCAGGAAGCCGUGGGGCCUCGGCUGCUGCCAGGAACGCAGCCGGCUCGGAGCUGGAAGGCAGCCCGUUAAUCAGAGCCGGCUGACAGCAAAGCACACAUCCUGGGCAACAGAUUUCUGCUCCCGCUCCCUCGCGCUCAGCCUCGCCUCGCCGUGCCUGCAUCGCUCCUGCUCGGCUGCUUUCUGCCAGCCCUUCUGCCUCCCCCUCCUCUUCGUCCUCCUCCUCCUCCUCCUCUUCCUCCUCCUGGGGUGUCCAGCAGGGUUUGCUCUUUGCAGGGGGGCUGCGCAUGGGGACAGGUGCCAGCCUGGGGGUCCUGCUGAGGAUGGGGGGGUGUUCGGUGGGGCCGUCCCCCGUGCUCGCAGCACCCACAGGACCUCCUGCAGACAGUGCUUGCAUCCGCCCCACAGCGCUGUACCCAUCGCCAUAUGGCAGCGCUGUGCUCAGGGUGCUGUCCUGGCUGAUGGAAACCCAUCGUGGCUAUGGGGUGUGAGGCCGUGGGGUGUGGGGUUAUUCCAGACCCCCCGGCCCUCCCCAGGCCCUGGGGACACCCAGUCCUGUGCUGCAGCCAACUUUGGGGAAGUGCCUUUGCCCGCCUGCAGCCCAUCAUCCCAACCAAACGGGAGCUUUUGUCUGAGCUCAGACAGCACGGCAGGGCUCUGCUUGGCUCCUACCCGAGCUUUCUCCAGGUACAUCUGCACUCGUGCCCAGGUGAAGCCCCGCCAUCGCUGUCCCCACGCAAUGGGCUCUGUAUCUUUUGCGUCUCGUUUCAUCCAGGACUUGAAACACGAAAGUGCUGCAUUGUGGUGUCUGUUUUUGUGGUGUUUCCAGCCCAGCUGGAAGCAGGAGGCACUAAAAAAUGGAGAGAUGGGGGGGGAGGGGGAGAAGGAGAAAGAAAAAAUCAAUCUGGCAGUAGUCCAUCUUCCUUCCAAACCCACCGGACCCGGGAUGCUCCCACCUUGCUCAUCCCAGCCCAUCCCCGAUGGCUUUGGGGAUGCUGCACAAAGCAUGGCCCCUCUGCUGGCGUCGAGGCCGGGCUGGUAAAGCCAUCCCUGCAUUUAUUUCACCUUUUCCUCUGGUUGCGAAUUGUCCGGGAGCAGAUGGCGAUUUUCUCAAGUGUAUCCGUUAUUCGAAGUCGCUCACCGAGACAGGGAUGGCUCACACAAACCCGGCCCCCCUGCAAAGCCAUCAUUUGGUCUUUCCAUCUGCCCAGCCACUGUGUUCGGUGUGGGUUUCAGCCAGCUCCGUGGGGCAGAGCGGGACGGCACGGCCCUACACGGUCAUCCCCUUAACUACGGGACAUGGAGCCGUGACGGCCAGGGCAGCUUGGGGGUGGAAAGCAAUCCCUGGAGCUGGGGGGACCCUCUCCUUAUGAGCCCCUGAAUGGGCUCCCAGGCCCAUCUGCUGCCACAUUCUGGCUGCGUUUUUCCAUUUUCCCUUCUCAGUCCUCUCCUUCUCCCCUCUGCGAAAGCAGCCAUGGGGCCGGGAGCUGCCUUGCAGGGAUGGGGCAGCGCUCUGUAACCGGAGCCCAUCGGGACCCCCUGCGCAGCCCCACGCCAGGAAUGUUGCGCCGAGGGGGGCUGCCAAGGGCUGACAAAAGGGGAACCGCUUUGAAAUGCAGCUUGCUCUUCCCCCCCCCCCCUCCGUGUGUUAAACAAAUACCCCCCGGCUCAGGGGGUGCCUCCCUGCAUCCCACAGCCUUUUGUUGCCAAGUCUUUGUCUGGGGUGUAGAGAGAGGGGUGGGACCCCCCCAAGCCUCCCCCAGGACACCCAUGUGGAUGGGGUCUGGGAUGCUGAGCGUGGGGCUGAGAGUGGCUCAGUGCCCCAUCACAGGGCCUGGGGACACCCCCUGAGCCCCGCUGCCCGCUGUCCCUCCUGUCCCUGUGUCCCAUCCCCAUGGCAUCUCACCAUAGGCGCAGCCGUUGGGUCUCCACGUGGGAACUGCCAUCAGACUGUGCCAUUCCCGCAUGCCAAUCCACAUCCAGCAUCCAGCCCCCAUAUGGGGGGGUCCAAACCCAAAGCUUGGGGGUGUUGCGGAGCCCACUGUCCCCAGAGGACAUUAAGGGACCAAAUCCCAUUAAGGGACUUGUUAUUUUGCAUCCCCAAAGGCACUUCACGCAGUUUCCUUUCGGGGAAAAUAGUUGGGGGAAAAGCCUUUGAGAGGGGGGUUGAACAACCCCAAAAUGCCCAAGGAAAUGGCAGCGCUGUCCUCCAGCCAUCAACACCAUUGUGCCGUGCAAAAGAACCUCCUGAAUUAACCACAGGAAAGGUGAAACUCAAAAUGAACCCCUUGGAAACCAAACCCAGGCUGCUCCGACCCCCCCCUAGGCACGAAGACCACAGAAGCCCCCAACUGCUGCCCACAUCCCUCCGUGGUGCCCCAAAGGUGGGAGAUGCCCUGGGACACCCCAACCAGUGCCAGCGGGGCCGCAGUGGGAAGGCUGGGUUGGGGAUGGGCAGAACCCGUUCAUCCCACUGCUUUUGGGGGUGGGUGCGUGGGGGGAACCCCGGGGGGGCGCUCAGCCCUCCUCUGUCCACGGGAAGGCCACGGGUGAGCGCGGUGCUGUGCUGUGUCCCCGGGGAGCAGCGGCCCCGCAGCCCCGCGCCGCGCUCGUCACCCAGACAAGAGAUCAAUAACUAAUUUCACUGCAGCAGCAGCACGGGUUUUUUUCCAAUAAUUGUGAGCCGGCGGUUGGGAAUGAGGCUCUCAGCACCGCUCCACACCAACCUGCGCCCGAUCAAUCGCCGCGCCGCUGGGGCAGCAGGAAAACUCAUUUUUCUCUUUUUCUUUCCUCUCAGCCUCCUCCUCCUCCUCCUCGUCCCAUCGCUCCCUCUUUGGGCACAGCGAUUCCGGCUCCGUCCCCUCACCUGAGGGCUGUGCUGAGCGUCCCCACCUGCAGUGGCUGCUCGUCCCAUCCCGGUGCUGCCAUCCCAUCUCCUGCAGGACAGACCCUGUGCCAAGCGUAGGGCGCAGCAUCUGUCCUCAUCCAGGAGCACUGUGGAGCCGUGGCUACGGAGCCGUGCCUUUCGGUCACCAGCUGGUGCCUUUGUGUUGCCCAUACGUGUUCAGUGAUGCAGGAGGAGAUCUUUGGGAUGCUGUGGGGUUGGUCUGAUGUCGGGCAUGAGCCUCGCUGGGUUCCUCCCUCGUUAUCCAUCUCUUUAAGCAUCUGAGACCCUCAGUGCCUCAGUUUCCCCACACAUAUCUGUAACAGUGGGCACAGCUCCCUGAGCCGCCCAUAGGCUCUGUGCUCCGGUCCCCAUCUCACAGGACACAGUGCUGGGCCACGAUGCCAAUCUCUGCAGUCCCAACCUCCACACACCCAGAAGGCAUUGAGGAGCUCUGCGGCAUCCCCCACCUGUGUGCCUUGUCCCAGCUUGGGGUCAGUGCCAGUGGGUGCUCAGAGCCCACCCUGAGCCCCAUCCCUGUGCUGGUGGGGCAUUUCCACGUCCUUCUGGUGAACCAGCUCAUGACUCCCAUGGUUAAUGUUUGCCUUAACCCCUCUUUCCACACAUUGAUUUGUAUUUGCAUCAUGCCCUGGCCACGGUGCUCAGGAACGCAGGGUGCUUGCAGGGCUCCCCCCACGAGCAGCAGUGUCCCCCAGCCAUGGCUAAGGUCAUUCUUCAUGGGUUUCCCAGCAGCACUGGGGCCUCCAUCCUUUCUCUCCCAUUUAAUCCCAUGAAUUAAACACCGCCUUCACCGCGGAGCGCCGAGCGGUGCCGGCGUAAUGUCCAAGUUUUACGACUUGCCUUGAAGGCACCUAUCGAUUGGGGUCCUCUCCGGAUGAUGGAGCUUUUAGUGCAUCCUGGGCUGUCCGAGCAGGGCUGGAUCCUCAGCCCAUGGGGCUCAGCCGCGCCGUGCCGUCACGUCCCCGUGCCCCAUCUCCAUGGGUCCCAUGGGGAGGCGGCAGGCGGGGCCCUCAGUGCCCACACGGCGCCUUUAAGAAGCCCACAACCAGCUCCAGGAACACGAGCUCAAGGUCACAGUGGGAAACCUGCGGACUUGGCAGCGAGGAGAGGAGAGGAGAGCGGGCGGAGGGGAGGAGGAGGGAGGAGGGAAGCAGCUGGGGAUAAAACCCAAAUUCUGGCGGGGAAGAGGGGACGGAGGGGAGCGGGGAGGUGAGGUGCAGGGGGGUCCCACCCAGGGGUGCCCAACUGUGGCACCUUGAGGCCCUGUGCCACGUCCCCUGGCGCGGCACCCGGACGCCCUCUGGGAGGUUUGGGGUUACCGAAGGCACCGGGAAUGAGGCGGCUGCUCCUGGUCUGGGUUUGGAGAUGCCCGUUUUUAAUUUUCAUCAGCAGAAUUAAUCUGCGGAGCUGCUCCCCCCCCCCUCCUCCUCCCCUCCCCUUCCUUUCCUCACUGGUUUCGACGGAGAAUUUGAUCACUUCUCCCAGGAGCUCGGCACCAUUAACAUUCACUCCUGGCGCGCACGAGCCGCGCUGCAUCGCCAAGCGCAUCGCCAGCUGUGGGCUGUGGGCUGUGGGCACCUCGACCCCCAUCAGCAGCCCCAGCCCUUGGCCUGGCACCAUCCUCACCCCCACCGAGCUGGGGAGGGGCUGCUUUAUUUCUGUGUCCGCUCUCCCGUAGGAAAAUGAAGGGCACAGCAUAGGAUCAGUGGGUGCUGCCCUUCUCCUGCUUCCAGCCAGCCUUGGGCUCGGAUCUGGAGGUGUCCGGAGGGUCGUGGCCUCAGGGUUUGCUCUGCAGCUGCUGGGACACCUGGGGCUGUCCAAUAUGAUGGAAACCAGAAAGCACUCCAGGGGUAGGAUCCAAAUCUUGCACCAUUUCACAUUUUAAGGGAUGCCAAGUGGUCACCCUGGGCUGCCCCAGAGUUGCAUAAAGUUGUGGACUUUUUUUUUCUUUAAUAAAGGUUAAUAAAGAAUUAACUCCUUAUUGCUGUUAUUAUUACUCCAUCACUGUCACUAUCACUAUUACCAUUACCAUUGCUAUUACUAUUGCCAUUGCUGCUAUUGCUGUUGUUGCUGCUAUUGCUAUAACUAUUGCUAUUUCUAUUGCUACUAUUCCCAUUUCCAUUUCUAUUCCGAUUCCUGUUCUCAUUCCUCUUCCUCUUCCCAUUCCUAUUCCUAUUCCCAUUCCCAUUCUCAUUCCUGUUCCCAUCCGUAUUCCCAUUCCCAUUCCUAUUCCAAUUCCUAUUCCAAACUGCUGCCCCUUGCAUGACAUACCGUUUCCCAGACACCAGCACAGUCCCAGCUGGGACGAUGCCCUCUGGCCCCGAGGUGCCCCCUGUGCUGCAGCAGCAGCAGGAGCUCCAUCAUCCCCUCCACCAGUGUGGGGCUGCAUCCUCCCCAUGUACAAAUGAAGCCCGUUUUUCUCCUUUCUGGCUGUGGCCCCACGCACUGAGCCCAGCCAUGCUGCUCCUCGAGGGCACGGAGCCAUUCACCGAAGCGAGAAGCCGAACGCCUUCUUUUUAGCCUCGCUUUAACAAGUAUUAAUUAACAAGAGAGUAAACACUAAUCCCGAAAUGACACAAACUGUGUCGCUUGAAACGAAUGUUUGGGAGCUGUCUGUGCUGGGAUUUACAGCUGCAUGGGUUAAUGGGUGCUAAAUCAUUGCUCAGGCUGCAAGGAGAAGCCGAGCUGGAGAGGGGCUGGGUGUGCUGCUCAGCCUGGCAUCGGCUGCACGGGGUGCUGGGGCUGUGCUGGGCUGUGCCAUGCCAUGACCUCCUCUGGUAGGAGGUGUGGAUCCGCUCAAUGCUUGGAGCAAUGGUGCCCCCACCCAGCAAUGGCUUUAACCAUAGAGCGCUGCAAGAGCGACCAGAGAGUCACCCUUGCCUACAGCCAACCUACAACCCUUGUGGGCUCAGGGAAGGCUGGGGGCUGAAGGCAGGGACUCAGCGUCUUGAGAGGGGCCCGGAG